CAGUAUCUGCUGUAAUGGACCCGUGGCCCAUCUAAAUCCAGCAAUGGCUCAUCAACUGUACAUGGAAGCCAGUAAUCUCCCAGUAGAUGGCCUUCAAAAGUAGUCACAGAUACAGGGAGAGUUAUGCCAUGAAACAACAGGAAAGUGAAAACUGAUUUUAUCUGAAGCUGUGGCCGGUAUAGAGGAAGGGAGCCUUCGGGGCUGAUAGAGAAUUACUGUUCCAUAGUCACUCAGCUGGCUUGAUGUCUAAAGUUUCCUAGUUUCUAAAGUGCAGGCCUUAACCAAUACAUCAAUCUGGCUCUCUAAAGAGGAAGGAACCAGUGCAAAAUAAGUGCACUGUAAUUUAACACCAGCUGUCUGCAAUUAAAGUACAGUGCUGGAACUGCUGCUGGACCGCAUGGCUGACCCUUAAGUACCCCUUGGGUGUGGCUAAGAAAUCUUAUGGAUAGUUUUGAAUGAUGAAAAGUUCUUCAUGAAC